AGCAAAUGUGAUUGGUGGGGUGGCUCCUUGUGCUAUAAGAUAUAAAAGGGUGUGUGUGUGUGUGACAAGGACAUGGCACCAAGAGCAAAAUGUGAUACAUGAUAGGCCUGCACUGCAAAGGGAAUGGAAGUGAACACAUUGUCAUAGAAAACAGUGACUUUAAAAACUUCACCCUUUCUCUAAGCAAUACCUACAUUUCAUCUUCCAUUCCAUUCCUUUCUCUUACUGUUUAUUUCUUCUCUCAUUUGGUUUCACCUACAUGAGCGCCACAUCCUCUUCUCCAAAUGGGGUGGCUGCACUCCAUCUUCUCUCCUCUUAAGAAGAUGUGGUUUCGCUUCCAUUCCGCUCCGAAGAAAAGAAGAGGGAUUUACAUUCUGUAUGAGGAUGUAAAAUCCUGCCCCGAUGAGGAUGUGCAUGUUCUGUGGUCAAUACUAGUGGAGGCCCAUGCACAUACACGUACUACACCUUCUUUGCCUUUGCCACCAUCAAAACCAUGAAUUCAUAUAUGAAGGCUCCAAUGUUCUUCAUAGCAUAUGAGUGAGCGAGAUUUCCUGCUGCCAAGUAUAUACACUAUUUAAAUACACACACACACACACACACACACACAUAUAUAUACUUUAUUUUGAUACUGGGUGUACAUGUAAAAAGGUUUUUCCUCAGUUUCCGUUCCAGUAAAUUUAAUAUUGAAAUAUGCCUUUCUUGUGA